AUUGAACGCUGGCGGCAUGCUUUACACAUGCAAGUCGAACGGUAACAGGUUAAGCUGACGAGUGGCGAACGGGUGAGUAAUGCAUCGGAACGUGCCCGAUCGUGGGGGAUAACGCAGCGAAAGCUGCGCUAAUACCGCAUACGAUCUGAGGAUGAAAGCGGGGGACCGUAAGGCCUCGCGCGAUCGGAGCGGCCGAUGGCAGAUUAGGUAGUUGGUGGGGUAAAGGCCCACCAAGCCGACGAUCUGUAGCUGGUCUGAGAGGACGACCAGCCACACUGGGACUGAGACACGGCCCAGACUCCUACGGGAGGCAGCAGUGGGGAAUUUUGGACAAUGGGCGAAAGCCUGAUCCAGCAAUGCCGCGUGCAGGAAGAAGGCCUUCGGGUUGUAAACUGCUUUUGUACGGAGCGAAAAGGUCCUUUCUAAUACAAGGGGCUCGUGACGGUACCGUAAGAAUAAGCACCGGCUAACUACGUGCCAGCAGCCGCCGUAAUAC
rnacentral:rRNA from 1 species